rnacentral:rRNA from 1 species
UGGGGAAUAUUGGACAAUGGGCGCAAGCCUGAUCCAGCCAUGCCGCGUGAGUGAUGAAGGCCCUAGGGUUGUAAAGCUCUUUCACCGGUGAAGAUAAUGACGGUAACCGGAGAAGAAGCCCCGGCUAACUUCGUGCCAGCAGCCGCGGUAAUACGAAGGGGGCUAGCGUUGUUCGGAUUUACUGGGCGUAAAGCGCACGUAGGCGGACUUUUAAGUCAGGGGUGAAAUCCCGGGGCUCAACCCCGGAACUGCCUUUGAUACUGGAAGUCUUGAGUAUGGUAGAGGUGAGUGGAAUUCCGAGUGUAGAGGUGCAAUUCGUAGAUAUUCGGAGGAACACCAGUGGCGAAGGCGGCUCACUGGACCAUUACUGACGCUGCGGUGCGAAAGCGUGGGGAGCAAACAGG